rnacentral:rRNA from 1 species
CGUAACAAGGUCUCCGUAGGUGAACCUGCGGNGGGAUCAUUACACAAAUAUGAAGGCGGGCUGGAACCUCUCGGGGUUACAGCCUUGCUGAAUUAUUCACCCUUGUCUUUUGCGUACUUCUUGUUUCCUUGGUGGGUUCGCCCACCACUAGGACAAACAUAAACCUUUUGUAAUUGCAAUCAGCGUCAGUAACAAAUUAAUAAUUACAACUUUCAACAACGGAUCUCUUGGUUCUGGCAUCGAUGAAGAACGCAGCGAAAUGCGAUAAGUAGUGUGAAUUGCAGAAUUCAGUGAAUCAUCGAAUCUUUGAACGCACAUUGCGCCCCUUGGUAUUCCGAGGGGCAUGCCUGUUCGAGCGUCAUUACACCACUCAAGCUAUGCUUGGUAUUGGGCGUCGUCCUUAGUUGGGCGCGCCUUAAAGACCUCGGCGAGGCCACUCCGGCUUUAGGCGUAGUAGAAUUUAUUCGAACGUCUGUCAAAGGAGAGGAACUCCGCCGACUGAAACCUUUAUUUUUCUAGGUUGACCUCGGAUCAGGUAGGGAUACCCGCUGAACUUAAGCAUAUCA